rnacentral:rRNA from 1 species
CAGCAGCCGCGGGAAUACGUAGGUCCCGAGCGUUGUCCGGAUUUAUUGGGCGUAAAGGGAGCGCAGGCGGUUUAGUAAGUCUGAAGUUAAAGGCAUUGGCUCAACCAAUGUAUGCUUUGGAAACUGUUAGACUUGAGUGCAGAAGGGGAGAGUGGAAUUCCAUGUGUAGCGGUGAAAUGCGUAGAUAUAUGGAGGAACACCGGUGGCGAAAGCGGCUCUCUGGUCUGUCACUGACGCUGAGGCUCGAAAGCGUGGGUAGCGAACAGGAUUAGAUACCCCUGUAGUCCCUGUCUCUUAUACA